rnacentral:tRNA from 1 species
GUCCCCGUAGUUCAACGGAUAGAAUACGAGAUUGCGGAUCUCGCGAUGGAAGUUCGAUUCUUCCCGGGGGCA